rnacentral:rRNA from 1 species
AGUAGGGCGGGACACGUGGUAUCCUGUCUGAAUAUGGGGGGACCAUCCUCCAAGGCUAAAUACUCCUGACUGACCGAUAGUGAACCAGUACCGUGAGGGAAAGGCGAAAAGAACCCCGGCGAGGGGAGUGAAAAAGAACCUGAAACCGUGUACGUACAAGCAGUGGGAGCACGCUUAGGCGUGUGACUGCGUACCUUUUGUAUAAUGGGUCAGCGACUUAUAUUCUGUAGCAAGGUUAACCGAAUAGGGGAGCCGAAGGGAAACCGAGUCUUAACUGGGCGUUAAGUUGCAGGGUAUAGACCCGAAACCCGGUGAUCUAGCCAUGGGCAGGUUGAAGGUUGGGUAACACUAACUGGAGGACCGAACCGACUAAUGUUGAAAAAUUAGCGGAUGACUUGUGGCUGGGGGUGAAAGGCCAAUCAAACCGGGAGAUAGCUGGUUCUCCCCGAAAGCUAUUUAGGUAGCGCCUCGUGAAUUCAUCUCCGGGGGUAGAGCACUGUUUCGGCAAGGGGGUCAUCCCGACUUACCAACCCGAUGCAAACUGCGAAUACCGGAGAAUGUUAUCACGGGAGACACACGGCGGGUGCUAACGUCCGUCGUGAAGAGGGAAACAACCCAGACCGCCAGCUAAGGUCCCAAAGUCAUGGUUAAGUGGGAAACGAUGUGGGAAGGCCCAGACAGCCAGGAUGUUGGCUUAGAAGCAGCCAUCAUUUAAAGAAAGCGUAAUAGCUCACUGGUCGAGUCGGCCUGCGCGGAAGAUGUAACGGGGCUAAACCAUGCACCGAAGCUGCGGCAGCGACGCUGAUGCGUUGUUGGGUAGGGGAGCGUUCUGUAAGCCUGCGAAGGUGUGCUGUGAGGCAUGCUGGAGGUAUCAGAAGUGCGAAUGCUGACAUAAGUAACGAUAAAGCGGGUGAAAAGCCCGCUCGCCGGAAGACCAAGGGUUCCUGUCCAACGUUAAUCGGGGCAGGGUGAGUCGACCCCUAAGGCGAGGCCGAAAGGCGUAGUCGAUGGGAAACAGGUUAAUAUUCCUGUACUUGGUGUUACUGCGAAGGGGGGACGGAGAAGGCUAUGUUGGCCGGGCGACGGUUGUCCCGGUUUAAGCGUGUAGGCUGGUUUUCCAGGCAAAUCCGGAAAAUCAAGGCUGAGGCGUGAUGACGAGGCACUACGGUGCUGAAGCAACAAAUGCCCUGCUUCCAGGAAAAGCCUCUAAGCAUCAGGUAACAUCAAAUCGUACCCCAAACCGACACAGGUGGUCAGGUAGAGAAUACCAAGGCGCUUGAGAGAACUCGGGUGAAGGAACUAGGCAAAAUGGUGCCGUAACUUCGGGAGAAGGCACGCUGAUAUGUAGGUGAAGUCCCUCGCGGAUGGAGCUGAAAUCAGUCGAAGAUACCAGCUGGCUGCAACUGUUUAUUAAAAACACAGCACUGUGCAAACACGAAAGUGGACGUAUACGGUGUGACGCCUGCCCGGUGCCGGAAGGUUAAUUGAUGGGGUUAGCGCAAGCGAAGCUCUUGAUCGAAGCCCCGGUA